rnacentral:rRNA from 1 species
GUCGAACGGUAACAGGGAGCUUGCUCCGCUGACGAGUGGCGAACGGGUGAGUAAUGUAUCGGAACGUACCAUUGAGUGGGGGAUAACGUAGCGAAAGUUACGCUAAUACCGCAUAUUCUCUCCGGAGGAAAGCAGGGGACCGCAAGGCCUUGCGCUCUUUGAGCGGCCGAUAUCAGAUUAGCUAGUUGGUGGGGUAAAAGCUCACCAAGGCGACGAUCUGUAGCGGGUCUGAGAGGAUGAUCCGCCACACUGGAACUGAGACACGGUCCAGACUCCUACGGGAGGCAGCAGUGGGGAAUUUUGGACAAUGGGGGCAACCCUGAUCCAGCCAUGCCGCGUGAGUGAAGAAGGCCUUCGGGUUGUAAAGCUCUUUCGGCCGGGAAGAAAUCGUAUCAGCUAAUACCUGGUGCGGAUGACGGUACCGGCAUAAGAAGCACCGGCUAACUACGUGCCAGCAGCCGCGGUAAUACGUAGGGUGCGAGCGUUAAUCGGAAUUACUGGGCGUAAAGCGUGCGCAGGCGGUUUUGUAAGACAGGCGUGAAAUCCCCGGGCUCAACCUGGGAACUGCGUUUGUGACUGCAAGGCUAGAGUACGGCAGAGGGGGGUGGAAUUCCACGUGUAGCAGUGAAAUGCGUAGAGAUGUGGAGGAACACCAAUGGCGAAGGCAGCCCCCUGGGUCGAUACUGACGCUCAUGCGCGAAAGCGUGGGUAGCAAACAGGAUUAGAUACCCUGGUAGUCCACGCCCUAA